AACCUAAUAACUCAGUUGGUUAGAGUAUUCGUUUGAUAAGCGAAAAGUCAGAGGUUCGAAUCCUCUUUAGGAGA
rfam:Dictyostelium discoideum mitochondrial DNA, complete genome.